rnacentral:lncRNA from 1 species
UAAGAGAUUCAACCAGCAGCAGAGGCACCAAGGACAGAAGGAAUUGUAACUGUAGAUUCUCACCCUGGGACUGUUCUGUGUUGUAAUUUGGCAGAGGUUCAUUCUGAGUAUGAGGUUGGGACUUGUUUGCAGCUGAUUUGCCUCAGAUAUGAGAUGCAGAGAUUGUUCUCUUUCACUGCACAGUACAAGUUGGAUGAGACUCCAGCUGAGAACAAUAAACAAACUUUUCAGCACCUCGCUUGUCCUUUGAGAGAUGAAUAUUCCACCUCUUACAGUUACCACGUCCCAGCCACUGCUCACACUCCUGCUGGAGCACCAGCCU